GGAGGGUGCGAGCGUUAAUCGGAAUUACUGGGCGUAAAGCGUGCGUAGGCGGUUUGUUAAGUCAGCUGUGAAAGCCCCGGGCUCAACCUGGGAACUGCAGUUGAUACUGGCCGACUAGAGUACGAGAGAGGGAGGUAGAAUUCCAUGUGUAGCGGUGAAAUGCGUAGAUAUAUGGAGGAAUACCAGUGGCGAAGGCGGCCUCCUGGCUCGAUACUGACGCUGAGGUGCGAAAGCGUGGGGAUCAAACAGGAUUAGAUACCCUGGUAGUCCACGCCGUAAACGAUGUCUACUAGCCGUUGGGAGACUUGAUUUCUUAGUGGCGCAGCUAACGCAAUAAGUAGACCGCCUGGGGAGUACGGCCGCAAGGUUA
rnacentral:rRNA from 1 species